rnacentral:rRNA from 1 species
UACGGAGGAUCCAAGCGUUAUCCGGAUUUAUUGGGUUUAAAGGGUGCGUAGGCGGGCCCAUAAGUCAGUGGUGAAAGUUUGCAGCUCAACUGUAAAAUUGCCAUUGAAACUGUGGGCCUUGAGUGUAAAUGAGGUAGGCGGAAUGUGUUGUGUAUCGGUGAAAUGCUUAGAUAUGACACAGAACACCGAUUGCGAAGGCAGCUUACUAAGAUACAACUGACGCUGAGGCACGAAAGCGUGGGGAUCGAACAGG